rnacentral:lncRNA from 1 species
UUUUUUUUUUUCUGUCUUUUUGCCUUUUCUAGGUCCACACCAGUGGCAUAUGGAGAUUCCCAGGCUAAGGGUCGAAUCGGACCUGUAGCCACCGGCCUACGCCAGAGCCACAGCAAUGCCAGAUCUGAGCCGUGUCUGCAACCUACACCACAGCUCAUGGCAACGCCAGAUCCCUAACCCACUGAGCAAGGCCGGGUAUCAAACCCAUAACCUCUUGGUUCCUAGUCGGAUUCAUUAACCACUAAGCCACAACGGGAACUCCUGAAUCUGCAUUUUAAAAGCCAUACUAUAUUAGAUUAUAUAGAAAUAUAUGGAAUUUGUACUUUUAUCAAGUAAUUGAGCUUAAUUAAUGUUUUGAAAACUGAAGCUGUUUUACUAAGAGAGAUAUGUGGAACUGGUAGGGGAUGGAAAAGCACUUUGAAAAAGUCACCCAAAUAAAGUAUAUGUGUGUUUGUUGUGUGUAUAAAAUAUAUAUAUGUAUAUGUGUGUGUAUGUGUAUACAUGUAUUGGGCAUGGGCAUGUAGCUUCAUGGUGAAGAAGAGUCAGGAGUGAAUGCAGCUGAGGCUUCAUCAAGCCCAUAAUUCUGAAAUCUAAUUGGACAUUUGUACAUGAAAGUAUGCCAACUGAAGUGAGGUAAUUUGGUACUGUGUGCUAUGUACAGCAAUUAUAUAUAAAAUUGUCAUCUAAAACCAUAAAUGAAAUUUGGCAGCAAUGCACUCCCCCCAGCAAAAUGCAGUUUUUCAUAGAAUCAGAGACCCUAUGAAUGGUUCCAUUUCUUUGCAAACUCUACUAAACAAAACCUAAAGCCAACUGGUACACAGGCCAAUCCUGAUGUUUCUAUUGAAACAUCAGAAAUGGCACUGUGUAUUGUAUGUUAUUUUGGAGCUUGUGAUGGGAGAUGGAAUGGGGUGGUGAAAAUCCCUACAAGUCUAAAGGGCAUCACCAGGCAUGUGUGGUCCUAUGAAUGGACCAUGUCAAUCCAUUAAGAACCAAGUGCUUUUCUUGUCAGAGUAUAAUUUGAUGGUGAUGAAGGCUUUAUGUGUCCUCUGUUGUUUCUGAAAAGAAAUAGGAAAUAUACUAUUUAGAUUCUAAGGCAACUAAAAUAGAGGCAUUUGUGGCAGAUGGGAUUUUUAUGAGCUGUUUGUCACCAUAUACCAGUCUUGUUAAGAAGCAAUCGUUUUCUGCUUCAUUACACUAAGAUAGCUCUGUUUAGGGUUCCACUCAGCUGUGAAAUGAUUUUAAAACUCCUGUAAGGAGUCUAGAUGGUUUUUUUAUAUAUAAUAAAAGACUGUUGACAAAAAAUGUACUAAAACACAAAAAAAGUGGUCAAACGCACUAUUUUUUAUGUCAGGGAAAUAGAGAUAUGCUGAAUCUCCUACUUAUGCUUAAUCUGCUCAUUUAUGCCAACAGAAAAAACUACAUAAUACUUUUAUUUUCUUCACCUAAGAAAGGUAAGAGCUCCUUUUAUGUUUUUACAAAGUCUUCAAGGCAUAUAUCAUAUAAAUAUAAAGGGAAAAGUACUUGAGCAAGGAGCAGUUUCAGCUUAAAAUAUGUAAAAAGAAAAACAAAUUUAGUAAAUGCAAGAAGUAUAUUUCUAAUGGCUUUACUUUCCUCAGAACUAAUCCACUUUUAGGUUUCUUUUCAUAUUUGGUCAUGGUUUUAAAGGAUUGACAUUGGGGCCAGGAGGAGAUGAAGGUUGUUUUGUUUUGCCACCAUUAGGCAUUUGGAACUUCCCAGUCUAGGGUUCAAAGUGAAUCAGAGUUGCAGCUGCCAGCCUACACCACAGCCACAGUAACACUGGAUCCAAGUCACGUCUACAACCUACACCACAGCUCAUGGCAACACCGGAUAUUUAACCCACUGAGAGAGGCCAGGGAUCAAACCAUCAUGGUUACUUGUUGGGUUCGUUACUACUGAGCCACAGUGGGAACUCCAGAAGCUUCUUACUUUAAAGAUUACAAAUUUAUCUUGUCACCGUUCCUGGCUCUAAUCCCCUCAGUGUAAUUCAGGGAAGUCAGGAGGGCUUGAUUCAAACCCCGACCCAGCCACUUACUUAUGUUACCCUGGGUACAUGAAUUAACCUUUCUGAGCCUCAUUUUUCUUAUUAAUAAAAAGAAUAUUGGCAACACAAAUGUUGCAGUAUCAGAUGUUUAUUGCCCCAAUGAUGCUGCAUAAGAAAUAACCACAAAACCUCAAUGGUAAUAUUUAGCUUAUAAAUCUGUGAGAUUCAGUCGAUUUAGGCUGAACUCAAUCAGGCUUAGCUGUGCACAUUUGUGUGUCUACAGUGUGGCUGGCCUGCUCAUGUCUGUGGGUUGGCUCUGCUAGGGCUUGGCUUGCUGUUGGCUGAUCUAUGACAACUUCAGCUUACAGUGUUAGGGCAAUCUUGCCCUGCUUCAUGUGUCUCCCAUCCUCCAGGCAGCUAGCCAGGGCCCAUUCUCAUGAAUAGUGGUGAAGGUGCUAAGAGAGAACAAACCCAAUUACACAAGAUAUUUUUCAAGCCCUUGCAUGCACCACAUUUGCUUACCUCAAAGGACCGAAGCAAGUCACAUGGCCCAGGACAGAACCAGGUGGGAGGGUUCUACACAGCGGUUUGGCAAAAAGUGAAGAACUGGGCCAUUAACACCAUCAAUCUGCAUACUUGCUGAUGUUUAUAAAAACUGAGGCAUCUUAUGAGUGUUUAUGAAGCCACACGCAUAGCACUUGGUACCCAGCAGGCACUCAGUAAAUGUUAGUUUCCUUCCCUCCUAAAUGUUCCCAGUCUUUCUAAGCCUUUCCUCAAUUAAUCUCCUAAGAUUUGUCUAUUCAAAAGACCAAAUAAAAAUAAAAAUUAUUAUAUAAAGGACCUGUAAUUUUCUCUUUCUCAAACCAUGGUACUCAGCCUCAGGGAGACAAGAAACCAUGCGACACAUCUUAAAUAUUUUAUGCAAAAAUUAGGAAAACAAAAUAUGAUUUUUAUGCUGAAAUACAUUCAGGUAACAUAUUGACUGCUUUGGGCUCCACUGGAAGUGGGUGGCAUGUAACAUAGUCUCUUUGCUCUGCUCUUUGGGGUGAGGUAC